rnacentral:rRNA from 1 species
AGUGAACGCUGGCGGUAGGCCUAACACAUGCAAGUCGAACGGCAGCACAGGAGAGCUUGCUCUCUGGGUGGCGAGUGGCGGACGGGUGAGGAAUACAUCGGAAUCUACCUUUUCGUGGGGGAUAACGUAGGGAAACUUACGCUAAUACCGCAUACGACCUACGGGUGAAAGUGGGGGACCGCAAGGCCUCACGCGAUUAGAUGAGCCGAUGUCCGAUUAGCUAGUUGGCGGGGUAAUGGCCCACCAAGGCGACGAUCGGUAGCUAGUCUGAGAGGAUGAUCAGCCACACUGGAACUGAGACACGGUCCAGACUCCUACGGGAGGCAGCAGUGGGGAAUAUUGGACAAUGGGCGCAAGCCUGAUCCAGCCAUACCGCGUGGGUGAAGAAGGCCUUCGGGUUGUAAAGCCCUUUUGUUGGGAAAGAAAUCCUGUUGAUUAAUACUCGGUGGGGAUGACGGUACCCAAAGAAUAAGCACCGGCUAACUUCGUGCCAGCCGCCGCGGUAAUAC